rnacentral:rRNA from 1 species
GAUUACCCGCUGAACUUAAGCAUAUCAUUUAGCGGAGGAAAAGAAACUACCAACGCAUGAUUCCCCUAGUAACGGCGAGUGAAGAGGGAAUAGCCCACCACCGAAGCCUGCGGUAGGUUUACUGCUAGGCAAUGUGGUGUUUGGGUCGACUCGCGGGAUUGCCACUCCACUCGAAGUCCAGCACUGAGUAUGGUUCCCUGGAUUUGGCCCAGAGAGGGUGAAAGGCCCGUGCGAGUGGAGGUUCAGACAUGUGAGGCAAUUCACCAGGUCGACCUUCGAGUCGGGGUGUUUGUGAAUGCAGC